UGCGUAGGCGGAAUAUUAAGUCAGUGGUGAAAUCCUGCGGCUCAACGGUAGAACUGCCAUUGAUACUGAUAUUCUUGAAUGUAGUUGAGGUAGGCGGAAUGUGUAAUGUAGCGGUGAAAUGCUUAGAUAUUACACAGAACACCGAUUGCGAAGGCAGCUUACUAAACUAUGAUUGACGCUGAUGCACGAAAGCGUGGGGAGCGAACAGGAUUAGAUACCCUGGUAGUCC
rnacentral:rRNA from 1 species